AGGCUCAAAAAAAGGCAGACUGCAGACUGGCGAGAUGAUGAUAGAUGACUUGGAUUGUGUCUGUUUCAACCAAUGUGACCUUGUACAGAAGCUGUCCUUGUUGGCCAGCCAGGGAGAACGCCGAUAGAACAUAACUUUUGCAAACAGUAAACGGAGGUAGAGCCCAUUUCCCAGUGAGAAUAUUCACAAAGCCUUCAGGAGACUAUCAGAGCCACAGAUUCAAGCAUCUAAAG